CUACGAGAGGCACCAGUGGGGAAUAUUGCACAAUGGGCGCAAGCCUGAUGCAGCCACGCCGCGUGUAUGAAGAAGGCCUUGGGGUUGUAAAGUACUUUCAGCGGGGAGGAAGGGAGUAAAGUUAAUACCUUUGCUCAUUGACGUUACCCGCAGAAGAAGCACCGGCUAACUCCGUGCCAGCAGCCGCGGUAAUACGGAGGGUGCAAGCGUUAAUCGGAAUUACUGGGCGUAAAGCGCACGCAGGCGGUCUGUUAAGUCAGAUGUGAAAUCCCCGGGCUCAACCUGGGAACUGCAUCUGAUACUGGCAAGCUUGAGUCUCGUAGAGGGGGGUAGAAUUCCAGGUGUAGCGGUGAAAUGCGUAGAGAUCUGGAGGAAUACCGGUGGCGAAGGCGGCCCCCUGGACGAAGACUGACGCUCAGGUGCGAAAGCGUGGGGAGCAAACAGGAUUAGAUACCCCAGUAGUC
rnacentral:rRNA from 1 species